rnacentral:rRNA from 1 species
AUGGCGACCGGCGCACGGCGUGAGUAACACGUAUCCAACCUGCCGAUAACUCGGGGAUAGCCUUUCGAAAGAAAGAUUAAUACCCGAUGGUAUAAUAAAACCGCAUGGUUUAAUUAUUAAAGAAUUUCGGUUAUCGAUGGGGAUGCGUUCCAUUAGGCAGUUGGUGAGGUAACGGCUCACCAAACCUUCGAUGGAUAGGGGUUCUGAGAGGAAGGUCCCCCACAUUGGAACUGAGACACGGUCCAAACUCCUACGGGAGGCAGCAGUGAGGAAUAUUGGUCAAUGGACGGGAGUCUGAACCAGCCAAGUAGCGUGAAGGAUGACUGCCCUAUGGGUUGUAAACUUCUUUUAUAUGGGAAUAAAGUGAUCCACGUGUGGAUUUUUGUAUGUACCAUAUGAAUAAGGAUCGGCUAACUCCGUGCCAGCAGCCGCGGUAAUACGGAGGAUCCGAGCGUUAUCCGGAUUUAUUGGGUUUAAAGGGAGCGUAGGUGGACAGUUAAGUCAGUUGUGAAAGUUUGCGGCUCAACCGUAAAAUUGCAGUUGAUACUGGCUGUCUUGAGUACAGUAGAGGUGGGCGGAAUUCGUGGUGUAGCGGUGAAAUGCUUAGAUAUCACGAAGAACUCCGAUUGCGAAGGCAGCUCACUGGACUGC